rnacentral:rRNA from 1 species
CUCCUACGGGAGGCAGCAGUCGGGAAUUUUGGGCAAUGGGCGAAAGCCUGACCCAGCAACGCCGCGUGAAGGAUGAAAUCCCUCGGGAUGUAAACUUCGCAAGAACGGGAAGAAUAAGUAGGGGACAAUACCCCCUAUGAUGACGGUACCGUUUGUAAGCUCCGGCUAACUCCGUGCCAGCAGCCGCGGUAAUACGGGGGGAGCAAGCGUUGUUCGGAUUUACUGGGCGUAAAGGGCGCGUAGGCGGCCACCGCAAGUCAAUUGUGAAAUCUCCGGGCUUAACUCGGAAAGGUCAACUGAUACUGCGGGGCUAGAGUGCGGAAGGGGCAACUGGAAUUCUCGGUGUAGCGGUGAAAUGCGUAGAUAUCGAGAGGAACACCUGCGGCGAAGGCGGGUUGCUGGGCCGACACUGACGCUGAGGCGCGAAAGCCAGGGGAGCGAACGGGAUUAGAUACCCCGGUAGUCCUGGCCUUAAACGAUGAAUGCUUGGUGUCUAGGGUUAUAAAGUCCCCGGGUGCCGUCGCUAACGCUUUAAGCAUUCCGCCUGGGGAGUACGGUCGCAAGACUGAAACUCAAAGGAAUUGACGGGGACCCGCACAAGCGGUGGAGCAUGUGGUUUAAUUCGACGCAACGCGAAGAACCUUACCUGGGCUAGAAUGCCUCUGACAACUCCAGAGAUGGAGCCUUCUGGGUAAAACCAGACA